AUUGUGUCUGUCCUCAAGACUCAAUUCAUGGAAGCUGCCUCCCCAAAGCAGCCUAUCCUUAAGUGAGCUCUUUAUUCUAAACUCAUUACAAUAUUGCUCUUUGAGCAACUCAUCACGAAUAGCCUGUGACAUCUCCUCUAUUGUAUUCCUGAACUGUUACUCAAGGCUUCAAUGAUCUGCACCUAUUUAGACAGCCCAGUCAGUGUGUUACCUCCUGAGGGCCAGAGGGGACCGGAUCCGCCAUGGGACAGGCACACUAUGAAGCAGAUGAGCAUCAGUGAACAGUUACUGAUCGUCUGGUGGGAGAUGGGGACCAAACUUUAAGGCCCACAAGGAUCCCAAGGAGUUUCCAGCUACGCCUCGCUGUCACCAGGUGCCACAGAUGAUGCCCAAACUGCCUGUUGGUCACUGCCUCCUUCCUCACCACCAUUUCCUCAUCCCAGGGUGGGACUGAGGGAUGGAAAUGUCAGCCCUGUC
ensembl:lncRNA